UACGUAGGGUGCAAGCGUUGUCCGGAAUUAUUGGGCGUAAAGGGUGUGUAGGUUGUCUUGUUAGUCUUCUGUGAAAUUCUUCGGCUUAACCGGGGGGUCCGCAGGGGAAACGGCAGGACUAGAGGAUGCGAGAGGUGUGCGGAACUCAUGGUGUAGGGGUGAAAUCCGUUGAUAUCAUGGGGAACACCGAAAGCGAAGGCAGCACACUGGCGCACUCCUGACACUGAAACACGAAAAGCGUGGGUAGCGAAUGGG
rnacentral:rRNA from 1 species